rnacentral:misc_RNA from 1 species
UAUUUAAGUUGCUCCGGGAGCGUACUGACAGUUUCACUAUUGACUUGGAAGAAGUGUGUAGUAUAACGCGUGCGUUUCCACGAUUUUGUUAAGAGUAUAUUUCCUUACAAUACAGGACUUCUAUUCGCGAGUGUGUGAUAUAGAGUGUGAGAAAAUAGAUGAGUAACGCCAAUAGUGGUCUUCUUACAUAACGAAAGAAAGGAAGAAGACAGAAAGCUAGAGUACUAGCGGAGGAGAUCGAAGGGGAAGCUAAAGACAACUAUCACACGUUGCUUUCUCGGUAUUUCCAUUUGACGACGAUAAUUUUGGAAGACGAAGUGACAUCCGUGCUCACCUUGAUAACCUAGCAGCCCGUC